rnacentral:rRNA from 1 species
GACAGAGGGUGCAAACGUUGUUCGGAAUUACUGGGCGUAAAGCGUGUGUAGGCGGUUUGGCAAGUCGGAUGUGAAAGCCCCGGGCUCAACUCGGGAAGUGCACUCGAUACUGUUAAACUUGAGUGUCGGAGAGGUUGGUGGAAUUCUCGGUGUAGAGGUGAAAUUCGUAGAUAUCGAGAGGAACACCGGUGGCGAAGGCGGCCAACUGGACGAACACUGACGCUGAGACACGAAAGCGUGGGGAGCAAACAGG